UACAGAGGUCUCAAGCGUUGUUCGGAUUUAUUGGGCGUAAAGAGCGUGUAGGCGGCCAGGUAGGUCUGCUGUGAAAACUCGAGGCUUAACCUCGAGCUGUCGGCGGAAACCAUCUGGCUAGAGUCCGGAAGAGGAGAAUGGAAUUCCCGGUGUAGCGGUGAAAUGCGCAGAUAUCGGGAAGAACACCCGUGGCGAAGGCGGUUCUCUGGGACGGUACUGACGCUGAGACACGAAAGCGUGGGGAGCAAACAGG
rnacentral:rRNA from 1 species